rnacentral:lncRNA from 1 species
AGCAUCCUCCGUGGGCCCCAGCAAUUUCCUUUUUAAAUUCCUCAAGCUGUAAUUUGAAGGGAAUAAUUUACCAGGUGACUAUUUCUAGGUUGGACAUCCUUUCAAACAAAUCCAGUAUGAAGAUGUUAACACAAGAACAGCCAAAUAGAUUUCUUCAUCAAGGAAUUCAGUUACUUCUCACAGGAGCAUAGGUUUUCCUCUAAGAUAUUUUACUGCUGUGAUUCCUGAUUUGUCUUUGGGAAAAAAAUAAGCACCCUUUAAACACACACACACACACACACACACACAUAUCCUGGUUUCUUAUUCAACACUUCUAGACUAAAUAUCGCUCUUUAAACCUUGAUUAUAUGUUUCAGCCAUCUUAGCAUGCAAAUCUGGAAUUUUUCCUACAUAGACGUGAGUUGUGAAAUCCUUGUACCUAGGAAAAUGAUGUCAGAUGUAAAACGAAACUCAGCCAAGUUCAAAUAAAAUGUGCAGGCCAGGAUAACACUGAGAGCCAGUUAGUGCACAAGGACUCUAAAGAUGAUCCUAGCAGACAUUUUGCGAUGAGUUGAGAGGAUUGGGACAGAACCGUCUGGGCUGUGACUCAUCCUCCAGGGUCAGGGGCAGACGUUUGUGGUGUCUGCAUUCAGUCUUUCAAACAUGUUUCACUGAAAUUCCACACUGCCACAUAUUUGUUGACAUAGAUAACACCAGAAUGGCACUCAUUGCGAUGAACCACAGCAUUCUGUCCACAUUUCCUUGUUCAAUAAUAGUGUCUAAUGAUUUCUUCUUGGCUCUUUGCUUUAGCAAUUUGUCGUUGUCCUGUUUGAGUACUGCCUGGAGGGGUGUUCACCCUGAAACUAAUGAAGCUCAAGUGUCAGUUAGAACCCUCUGACUAUUAGGAAUGGUUAAGAGUUGUACAAUACCCUGGGUUGAGAAGGAAGCCAAGUUGUAAUCAGAAAGAAUCAUUAAGAAUCAUUUCUCGGGCUGGGGAUGU